rnacentral:rRNA from 1 species
AUGGAUGAUGAUGCCGGAGAAGAAGAGGCCCAGGACCCGCCGUUCACCGGACGCUGGCCGGCCACUUCCUUGUACGAUGUAUACAUGGUGGAUGCACCAAAGGAGAAUAGCAGUGAUGACAAAGAAGAUCCAGUUGAGGAUAAACCUCCGGAGAUACAAUCGAAAUGUCGGCGUCAGCGGCGCCGCUCUAAGUCACGUUGCAGUAAAGAUAGCAACACCGGCACAGGAGAAGAUAACACUCCGGAAGGUGCCAAAGAAAAUGAAGACCCCGUUGACGCAGCUACCGAACGGGAUGAACGGGAAGAUGGGCAGGUUAGCCCUGGUAAACAGGCCACCCACGAGGACUCGGAGGACAGUAAUUAUCUUCCGCUCUCCGAGGAUGAGGCGAGCCUUGGCACCGAGGAUUUCAUCGUGCAUGAGGAACCUCUUGAGCAGGAGCGCUUCAAGCACCAGCUAACAGCCACUGCAAGGAGCCUGGAAAAGAAGCAGUAG